rnacentral:rRNA from 1 species
AUUGAACGCUGGCGGCAGGCCUAACACAUGCAAGUCGAACGAGUGGCGGACGGGUGAGUAAUGUCUGGGAAACUGCCUGAUGGAGGGGGAUAACUACUGGAAACGGUAGCCAAUACCGCAUACCAUCAGAUGUGCCCAGCUGGGAUUAGCUGGUUGGGGGGGUAACGGCUCACCAAGGCGACGAUCCCUAGCCGGUCUGAGAGGAUGACCAGCCAAACGGGAACGGAGACACGGUCAAGACUCCUACGGGAGGAAGCAGUGGGGAAGAUUGCACAAGGGGGGAAAGCCGGAUGCAGCCAUGCCGCGUGUAUGAAGAAGGCCUUGGGGUUGUAAAGUACUUUCAGCGGGGAGGCGUUACCCGAAGAAGAAGCACCGGCUAACUCCGUGCCAGCAGCCGCGGUAAUUC